UUCAAAUUGGCUGGGUGAUUAAGCAGAAUCCCCACCCCUUAACAGCUUGAGGCAAACACACAGACAACAGCAAAGGGACCUCCCACACAGACAAAAGCUUCCCCAAGCCCUCAAAAAAACCAACACAAAUGCC